rnacentral:rRNA from 1 species
AACGCUGGCGGCAGGCUUAACACAUGCAAGUCGAGCGGGCGUAGCAAUACGUCAGCGGCAGACGGGUGAGUAACGCGUGGGAACAUACCUUUUGGUUCGGAACAACACAGGGAAACUUGUGCUAAUACCGGAUAAGCCCUUACGGGGAAAGAUUUAUCGCCGAAAGAUUGGCCCGCGUCUGAUUAGCUAGUUGGUGAGGUAAUGGCUCACCAAGGCGACGAUCAGUAGCUGGUCUGAGAGGAUGAUCAGCCACAUUGGGACUGAGACACGGCCCAAACUCCUACGGGAGGCAGCAGUGGGGAAUAUUGGACAAUGGGGGCAACCCUGAUCCAGCCAUGCCGCGUGAGUGAUGAAGGCCCUAGGGUUGUAAAGCUCUUUUGUGCGGGAAGAUAAUGACGGUACCGCAAGAAUAAGCCCCGGCUAACUUCGUGCCAGCAGCCGCGGUAAUACGAAGGGGGCUAGCGUUGCUCGGAAUCACUGGGCGUAAAGGGUGCGUAGGCGGGUCU